UCUAUGUGAAAUAUAACUGAUUUAAUAUUUUUUUAAUCAAACUAUAUAUAUUAUUUUCUUAAUUUCAUAAAAUAGGUAAUUUUGUACACUAUUUGAUAUAAAUCAUAAUAAGAAAUAAUAUAAAUAAUAUUAUAUUUACGUAAUAUUAUCUUUUUAUAAUUUUCUUAAUAUUUAUGUACAUCUUUUUUCUAUUAUGUAACUUGUUUUAUUUAAUUGUUAAUUUCUUAGUAUUGACAUUAAAAUGGUAAUAAUUACAUAAAGUAUACAAUAAUAGUAGGUGCCAUCAACAGCAUUAAUUUACAUCUGAUAAAGUAAGAAAUAAUAAUAAUAAUAAUAACGGUAAUGAUAAUGUUCUUUAGGAAAUAAUUACAGUCAUAAAGAGAUGACAGCAUGUGCUAAUUAAUGUGAGCGUCUCAUUAAUUAAAUUAUACGUUUUAACAUUUUUAUUUUCACUGCCAGUUUGGCAUCGCUAAUUGGGACUAUUUUCUAAAAUCGUAUAUAUGAAGGUUUUUGAGUUUUAACAGUUCAUUAUUAAACGGAGACCUUAAAGAGAAUGCAUAUAUGGAUCUUCUUAAGAGUUAUCAAAUUCACAGGCAGAAUCAAUAUAAUAAUUUGAUAACAAGAAACAGCAGUUAGUCUCCAAACUUCAAAAGUCUUUUUAUGGAUUCAAACAAGCUUCAAGGCAGUGAAAUGCCAAAUUUACUGAGUGUUUGCUAAAGAAUGGAUUCACACAAUCAAAGGAUCUAACAAAGCUGCAAUAUAUGAUUUGAAAGCAACUUUGAGAUCUAAAUUCAAGUUAAAAGACCUUAGAGAUCUGAAGUACUUCAUUGGCAAAGAGUUAGUUAGAUCAAAGAAAGGACUUACCAUUUGCGAAAGAGAAUUUGUUCUGGAUUUACUGAACGAAUAUGAACAUUUGGGGUUCAAGCCAUGUACUAUAAAUGUUUAAGUGAACCACAAGUUGGUUCAUACUGAUGAAGACUUAUUAGAAGACCCUAUAGUCUAUAGGAAAUCAAUAUGAAAGUUAUUAUAUUUGACUUUAACUAGACCA